GUGCACCCUGUGAAAACAAAACAAGAAGCAUGUUAUUGCAAUGAUUGAUUUCUUUUUUCGUGAACAGAAAUGUCAAAUCCCCCCUUCCCUCCAAAACAAAACAAAACAAAUCCCACCAGAUUACAAUUGAGCAAAUCACAGGGCCCCUCGAGACUUAGAAAUUGGCACGUCAGUCACUAAUGUGGAAGGGACAGUUUUGCUUCUAGGACUGAUGCCAUGUUCCUAUUCCAUCUGAGUUCAUAUAGCAAAAAGCAGCUGUGUUACUUUUGCUCAGGAGACUUCCCAAAUUGGUCUUUCCUCUGGAAAAAGCUGACAAUGUUGAUCAGGUCAAGGAAAUCACAUAAUUAUUUUUAACAUAAUUCAGAAGCAAGUUUUCCCUACAUAACAGACACAUAAUGAUUCUACAAAACACUCAACAAGAUUAAUUUAACUACUAGGUGAAAAGAAAGAUUAUUUGAUCAGUUUGAAUUUUCAAGUCAGAAUGUUGGAGCUGUCUUUGUCCAAAUGAAUUGCUUGGGUGAAAAUUACUGUGAAGCACUUAUUUUCUGCCCCACAUACUCCUGCUUGUUGCUUUCAAGGCAAAUUUAAAUGCUUUCUGUUUAAAAGAAAAUGCUGAUCUUUUUCGUUACAGAUUCGUUAACUCACCAUGUUCCAUGAUUUAGCAAUAGAGAGUUGAUCUAUGGCUUUCGGUGCUGAGACAGUGAUUUUUGAGAAGUCUUGAAGGUGAUGAAUAUAUGUUGUCGUAUCAGCAUAUGCUAUGCAACUCCACGAUACUCUGACCACAGUCCUCAGGAUUAGUGAAUCCUCUGUCUGAUUCUGUACAUCCUAGCAUUGGACUGCUUAUGAAAAUGAUGUGAUUCCUUCUACUCUAAAAUAACAGAACAACUUCUGCAGUGAUGUCCACCGGUUGUCCUCUGCUAAAAUCUAAGCUAUCAUGCUGUGGGGCAGAAGACAAAAAGGUCUUGUAAUUGUUCCAUUGUCACAGAAGCUUAUCAGAAGUACCAAAGCUGACUACUGAUAUAAAAUGAACCUGCUUUAUGUUAAAUCCCCAAUGAGUCAGUCUGUUCAUGACAGAUAUCACUGCCAGAUAAAUCUGAGCAAGGCUGAACCUUUUUAAGAAGAACACCUCAUUCUCCAGGCUACAGUUGCCAAUUGCAGCAAGCUGUUUGAUGCUUUCAACAUCUGAAACAAACAGGAUUCUGAGGAUUUACGUACUCACGUUUCAGACCAACCACUUGUCUGUUUCCAAAAAUGUAAACAAACACCCAUAUGUGCAAGACAGCCCCAACUGAGCUCAGUUUUCCCCGGAGCCCGACAGAGCAUCCACAGCUAAGGAAAAGGGGUAGUACAUAUACCAGGAUUGAAGAACAUGUACAGUUUUGUGUAUGUCCAAAAACCUAUGUUGUUGAAGUUGUUAUAUAAAGAUUCACAACAUUUUAAUUCACUGCAUCUCAGUGAAGCUCAUGUUUGGGAACUCUGCUUGCUCUAGUUAAGAACCUCUUCUGGCUUCAGCAUCUUUCCAGUGACUCCUCAGCAGUGCCAGUACAACACAUGGGGCCUGGUGAUGAAUCAUCAGGAAGCUGACCUGAGUCGAUUACUUGCCCUAGCACUUAAAAUAAUAUUCAGUGUUUCUUAAUGCUGCCCAGCUGAAACGUUCAGAACUCCAAGACUUCAGACUUAGGUAUUUUCUACAAUUUUGCUAAGUGAACAAACUGCAAACAGCCUCUUAUAAAGAGGCUUCUUCCAACAAGACAUUCCCAAGGGAAAGAGGGAAGAACACUGCUGAAAUAAGCAGGUAGAGAAGCUGUCCAGCAAAAGGGAGAAAGAGUGCGCAAAAAAUAACUAGACCCAGAUGAAUCCACUGUGCUCUACUGUGGUACAAACCAUAGGAGAAACACAAAGAAUAUGAGAAAAAUAAAUCCUGUUUUAUUUAAGCAGUGUUUUCCUGUGAAUACUUCAAGGAUUGCAAAAGAUUUGAAGGACAAAACAGCAUCUUUAAAUCCCAGGAAGAAACCAUGCUUUUUUUUUUAUAUAUAAAGCCAAUUGUAAACCCAGUUGGUUAUGUUUAUCUCCACUCUUUCUUAGCAUUAAAGCCUCACCUGUAGCCACAGUGACCUUGAUGCCUGUCACCAAAUUAGACUUGGAAAAUACACAAAAACUUGCUUGACAAUAUAUAUGAGGAAACCAGGAUAAUUCAAAUGCAGCUAACUCUUAAUUUCUUCCGUUCCCUACUAAUGGAAAUGAAGCCAUGUAGCGGUGAAGUUUAGUAAGUUCAGUUUCCUCAGGCAAUCAUGCUAAUAUUAUCAGAAAGAACUGUCCUUGCCUAUCUGCAAAAUACAUUUCUGAAGCAUAUCUGCACCAGUUCUUCACUGGUUCUCAGCAUUACCAUGUCUCCUCUGGAUCCCACUACACUGUUCAUAUCAGGUUUUUCCCAACUGAAAAAUGCCAAAUGACCUCUGAAGAUCCUUCUCACAGCCCUUCCUGCAUUGCAUUUUUCUAUUUUUUGGGGGAGGAAUCCUGCUGUACUGAGGCAAGUAUUGCCUGACAACCUGAAGGCUUCCAGCAAGGCUCUGCCUGCUGUUCUUUAUGUCCCCAGACAUUCAUACUACAGGUGAAGAGAGGAAAGUGGCAGAUGACACUGUUUUGCAGACAAAAAUUUGCAGUUAGUAACAUCACUUGGUUUGCAAAGCUGCAUAAGGAUCAUACAACAACAUAUCAGAUGUCCACACAAACUGCUGCAUAUGUCCAACUACCAGCAUCACUGUACUGAAACCUGUUUUAUUCAAAAUGAUCUACUAGAAACUCAGAGCCAGCUAUAUAGUGAGAGCUGCGGCUACAGUUAUUAUAGGCAAGUUUACAAUCCAAUCUCUUAGAAGGUUUUGCUUACAAAAGCAUUUUAUUCCUUAGGCUAGUCAGCUUACAAAGUAAAAUAAAAUAAAUCAAAGUCAAUCCUAUACUCAGGAAGACUAUUCAGAAGGAGAGGUAUUUCCUGGUGCAGGCAAUCUCUGAUCCAUAAUUUUGGUAUUGUUGUUAUACAAAAUAUUUUCCACUUGCUGUUUGUCAGAGUUGUAAUUCCUUGGAGCUUUUUCAACAGUGGUUGCUGCACAGAACUUCUAAAAUUAAGACAUCCUCAGAGUAAAUUGUUGGAAGUGAGUUCAAAGAGUAGCAUGUAGGGUGAUAUCCCCUGUGUUACAUCUCAUUUAAUGAAUGCCUGCAAACACAGUCAGAAAGACCUUUCAAAUUAAAUUUCAUAAUUGGGCUUGGAACCUGAAAUCAACUUACCUCCACACAAUCCUGUAACCACAGUAGUGCAGAACCUGGGAGUGGGUGAAAACGCGUAGGCGGAAAGAGAACAUAGUUUUAUUCUGCUUUCUUGGUGCUGGUAAUGUCACAAACAUCCUGCCAUUCUGAUAUUAUUGUGUUAAUGUUAAAAUAUUUGGUUGAUGCAAAUAGGAGUCGAGAUGUAAUAUUCUCUAUAUGGCAUUGCCCAGAGCAAAGUAAAAACACCAUGACAACAAGUAGCCUGCAAGCUGUCGUGUUAUUUGUGUUCAGCUUGCAGAACAGCUUAUAAAAAGCUAUCAGCUGACAGGCAUCCUGAACAUCAAUAGUAAUUGAGAGAGAAAGAAUAGAAGAAUAGCAAAUGGUGAACAUGAAAAAAAGAAAAGUACAAUAAUACACCCUGGGAACAAUUUUUCCAUACACUUUGAGUUUUCUUAAAUGACAAUCAUUUAUUAAAAAAUACAACUUCUCAAACAAAACCUGUGAAUGUAAUCACUUUAGUCUUCAGACAUCAUCAUGCCCCCUAUAGAGAACUUUGCUAAUCAAACGUGACAGCACACAAGAAAGAAUUCUAACAUUCUACUGAACAAAACUAUCAAGUAAUUAUAAAAUUGACGAAGAUGACUCCAGGACUAUGAAGAAAUUUCUUUUAAAGGUACAUAUAUCACAUAGAAAAACGUAUUCAAAGAACAACGAACUUUAUGAGCAAUAGCACAUUGUCCAUGGUGCUGUCAGUAUCUUUAUAGAUAUAUCUUUUAAAAUUAAACGUAAUAGCAGUUAUUCAUCUAUACUUUUUUUAUCCUUAAGUAAUCCUUCACUGUGUAGUAUUUUGGAGUUUAUCUUGUUCCCACAUACAGAAGUGCCAAAUUACUAUGAAGGGAUACACCUUUUUUUGUAUUGGUGAAAGUCAUCACACAGGUCUCUGCUGUGGGGAAAUUCAGUGCCAGGAAACAAACAAUACGCAAGAGGCCACAAAUUACACAGCUGGCUUAGUUUCAGUAGGACUAUUUGUGAGAGUAAAGUGAGUGGCAUUUGAUCCUUUAACUAUUAUUGUUUCAUUUGGAAUUGAAAGUAUAUGAAAUUGCAGCCAGUUGUUUUAAAAUCUGAAUUUUUACACACACAACUCUACCAACCCACUAUAAUUUUAUGUUGUCCCCCAAUAAAUAGACUUUUCUAGAAGUAUGAAAAGUAAAAAAGGUGAUAAAAAGCUAAAAAGACCUACUGAUUAGCAAUUCGAGCUGUCCCAGGGUUUUCUGUAUCCUCUGACACCUAACAUUGGUAUAUAUCAGGAGAUACAGAGACACACUGCUACUACUGGAGAUUCAAAGCUGUAUUUUAGCAUUUAUUCACCUAUGGAAAAAUAAAAUUUGUCAGAAAGGAUGCAGGGCACCAUUAACAUACAUUGCUGCAGAAGGCUAAUUUUUUUCCUCCCGUGUCACAGAUUCAGCAUAACUCGUUUUCUUGAAUGACACAUGAGAUCUAAUAAACUACUUUUACAGUAUGCUGCACCACUUUCUUAAUACCCGAGUUGAAAACAUAAGCUCGUAUUUGGCUUCAUUAAUGAUGUACCCUACUAAAAGUAUGAACAAUUUUGCUGACAGGCCAUCUGUCUGCUGUCAGCUAGGAAUCGAUUGCAUGGCCCUCAACCGCAUCACCUGCAUAGGAACUUCUUGAAGAAUUCAGUGAGCAAUCCCUAGAAAGUAAAGUGCUUAAUUGCGCUUGUCUUAGCUGCCACUGUAAGAAAUUAACACCUACAUUUUUCUCUAGGUGUUAAGAGGGGAAAAAAAAACCAAACCCAAGCAAAACAACAACAAAAAAAAACCCCGUUGAUACAUUAUUCAUGUCAGGGAAAGAGAGAGGCAAGAAAGUAAAUAAACAGUCCAUCAAGGGUGAGUUUUCUGGUUUGGGGCUUAAUGAAUAUACCACUGAAGUUCACAACUCUGCUUCUCUGUAGUUUUUCAAAAUACAAACUGUAGAUUAUCUUAGGAAAUACUGCUUUGAAAGCACAGGGCCAUCGAUAUAAUUAUGAUUCACUGAGGAAAAUCAAAAUUGCCAUACUACAGUACAUAGUUUU